AAUGUGGUGUUUAGGUUGGUCCGCAGAGGCACUGCUCCACUCUGAGUCCAGCAAUGAGUACGGUAGCAUGGACAUGGCCCAUGGAGGGUGAAAGGCCCGUAAGGGUGGAGUUCAGGCAGGCCAGUGCUUCUCUGGAUUGACCUGGGAGUCGGGUUGUUUGUGAAUGCAGCCCAAAGUGGGUGGUAAACUCCAUCCAAGGCUAAAUACAAGCACGAGUCCGAUAGCGAACAAGUACCGUGAGGGAAAGUUGAAAAGUACUUUGAAGAGAGAGUAAACAGUGCGUGAAACCGCUCAGAGGUAAACGGGUGGAGUUGAACUGCAUACUCUGUGAACUCAGCUGGUGAGAAUAUUGUGGGCUUGGUCAAAUGUGUUGGACACUGAGGUUUGCUUGAUUGCAUGUCCCAGCCGGCUGGUCGGGAUGCGUGUUGCGCUCAUCAUGCGUUGUGCGCCUCAGUUGUUUAUCUGCCCUCUUGCCGGUGCAUUUUCUCAGAGUGAUCACCACGACCGGCGUUGCUGUCCGGCUGCUCUAGUUAAACCGGUCUCACACCGUCCAUGUGGCGUUGUGUGGUCGGGACGGCAGGUAGCCUGUUAGCUCGCUUUGGCUUGCUUUCGGGUGUAAUCAGCUGACUAGAGUGGGAUUGUGCAGUGCGUCGGAGAUGGCGGCCAUUUGUGCGUGCCUGCGCAUCACGCCUUCCGGAGGAUCCUGGUUUGGUUACUAUGUUGCCUGUUUCGGCAGGUCUGGUGGUGGCCGGGAUUCUAUCUGUUGGUGGUUGCGUGGGUGGCACUAUGAAGGGCCUACAGUCCGUGGUGUUGUGGUAGACUAUCCACCUGACCCGUCUUGAAACACGGACCAAGGAGAGUAACAUGUGCGCGAGUCAUUGGGUGCAACGAAACCCAAAGGCGCAGUGAAAGUAAAGGUCUGGCUUGUCCAGUCUGAGGUGAGAUCCUGCCGUUUCUUACGCGCGGUACCACCAAGCAUCGAGCGGUAGGCGCAUCACCGGCCUGUCCCAUGACGUAGACAUAGUCUUGUACUGUGCACCGUCGGGGCGGAGCAUGAGCGCACAUGUUGAGACCCGAAAGAUGGUGAACUAUGCUUGCGCAGGUUGAA
rnacentral:rRNA from 1 species